rnacentral:rRNA from 1 species
UACGUAGGGGGCAAGCGUGUCCGGAUUUAUUGGGCGUAAAGAGCGUGUAGGCGGCCAUACAGGUCAGCUGUGAAAACUCGAGGCUCAACCUCGAGACGUCGGUUGAAACCGUAUGGCUAGAGUCCGGAAGAGGAGAGUGGAAUUCCCGGUGUAGCGGUGAAAUGCGCAGAUAUCGGGAAGAACACCCGUGGCGAAGGCGGCUCUCUGGGACGGUACUGGACGCGUGAGACGCGAAAGCGUGGG